UCCCUACGGGGUGCAGCAGUCGCGAAAACUUUGCAAUACACGAAAGUGUGACAGGGUCAUCCCGAGUGCCGACCGCUGAGGUUGGCUUUUACCCAGUCUAGAAAGCUGGGGGAAUAAGGAGAGGGCAAGUCUGGUGUCAGCCGCCGCGGUAAUACCAGCUCUCCGAGUGGUGUGGACGUUUAUUGGGCCUAAAGCAUCCGUAGCUGGCUGAACAAGUCCCCUGUUAAACCCACCGAUUUAAUCGUUGGCGUGCGGGGGAUACUGCUCGGCUAGGGGACGAGAGAGGCAGACGGUAUUCCCGGGGUAGGGGUGAAAUCCUAUAAUCCCGAGAAGACCACCAGUGGCGAAGGCUGUCUGCUAGAACGCGCCCGACGGUGAGGGAUGAAAGCUGGGGGAGCGAACCGGAUUAGAUACCCGGGUAGUCCCAGCUGUAAACGAUGCAGACUAGGUGUUUGGACGGCCACGUGCCGUUCUAGUGCCGCAGGGAAGCUGUUAAGUCUGCCGCCUGGGGAGUACGAUCGCAAGAUUGAAACUUAAAGGAAUUGGCGGGGGAGCACCACAAGGGGUGAAGCUUGCGGUUUAAUUGGAGUCAACGCCGGAAAUCUCACCGGGAGCGACAGCAGUGUGAAGGCCAGAUUAAAGGUCUUGCCAGACGAGCUGAGAGGAAGUGCAUGGCCA
rnacentral:rRNA from 1 species